GUUAAGGGUGAUUUCUGACAGUUCGGAUUUCAGCGAAGCCCGGGACCUGAGCCAUCGAGGUCGGAGCGGACCACAGAUGACGUGAGCCUCGCCCCUCCCUGGUUUCCACCUCGAGGAGGUCCCAAGAACACCCCAAUGACCAGACACGAGAGAGAGGAGUCUUUUAAAGAAGAAGAAGAAGAAGAAAAAGAAGAGAAAAGAAAAAGAAAAAGCCUGAAACCAAACCAAUCAGCUUUGAGAUGAAUCAAAAAUGACUAAAUUUUAUUUGAGCCAAAACAAGUUUUAAAAAAUCCCAAUAAAAAUACAUGCUACAGGUACAGAGAGUAGUUGAUGGAGAAAUUAACUGCUCAUCAUUUUACCGAAUCAAUUUCCCUACAGAGAAAUUAAUGUGAUUUGUCUAUUUAUUUGUUCCUGAACACUAAUGUAAAACUAUGUAAGCAAACAAGUCUAGCUUCUGUCUAAAACAAAAAUAAAUGGUCUUUUUUUUUUUUUUUUAAGAUAUUGUCAAUUGAAAAUGAAAUGUGUA